rnacentral:tRNA from 1 species
CAUAUAUAGUAUAAAAAAUAUAUUAAAUUUAGAGUUUAAAGAUAUUUAUAUGUUAU